GAUGAACGCUGGCGGCGUGCCUAAUACAUGCAAGUCGAGCGAAUGGAUUAAGAGCUUGCUCUUAUGAAGUUAGCGGCGGACGGGUGAGUAACACGUGGGUAACCUGCCCAUAAGACUGGGAUAACUCCGGGAAACCGGGGCUAAUACCGGAUAACAUUUUGAACCGCAUGGUUCGAAAUUGAAAGGCGGCUUCGGCUGUCACUUAUGGAUGGACCCGCGUCGCAUUAGCUAGUUGGUGAGGUAACGGCUCACCAAGGCGACGAUGCGUAGCCGUGCUGAGAGGGUGAUCGGCCACACUGGGACGGAGACACGGCCCAGGCUCCUACGGGAGGCAGCAGUAGGGAAUCUUCCGCAAUGGACGAAAGUCUGACGGAGCAACGCCGCGUGAGUGAUGAAGGCUUUCGGGUCGUAAAACUCUGUUGUUAGGGUAGAACAAGUGCUAGUUGAAUAAGCUGGCACCUUGACGGUACCUAACCAGAAAGCCACGGCUAACUACGUGCCAGCCGCCGCAGUAA
rnacentral:rRNA from 1 species